CUCCACCCGCACAACAGCUCAGCCGGAGCAGCCCUGCUGAUUACUGGGUAUUUCAAAUCGGAUACAAAAUUCGAAGGCGGAAAUAUAUUUGACCGAGGCGAGGAGAGAAAUUUGCCGCUCAGUUGUCGAAACCGUUAACCAAAUGCCCCGCAGCUAAGAUACGCGCAGAGAUAUUCGAUUUCACCACGAACCGGAGGGCGUGUGGCCAUAAUGCGAUUAAAUGUUAUAUUUUUAGAUGUCAGGUAUGCGAGUUUGUAUGUAUCUUGUGCUUCCCAGAAGAACGGAGCUUAGAUGCUGCCUUUUUGCUGCCGUUUCUGCUGAAUUUCGAAAGCUUUGGAUGGACCAGAUCCAGUGGCAGGACCACUGACCGUAUGCUUGAUGUGCAAUCGAAACGGCAUCAAUUGUCUCAUAAAUCAUGCCACCCGUAUGUAUAAAUUACACCCCGCAUAGAUCGCAGCCGAACAACCGCAAUGCCUCGUCUAAUUCCUGGGAAUCGAAACAAAGGCGCAACAGCAAAAAUCCCCAUUCCGAAUUCGAUCCUAAGCGGCAAGCUGCGCUCCUUGAAAUAUUAAUAAAAAUUUCAAACUGCGUUCGGCUUAUGGAACUGCUGCACCGCACCCAUUCGACUUCGAUGAUAAAGUGAUGAUGCCCCAAGGUUCCAAAAUUGCUUUCAAAUAGAGUCCGAGCCCCGGAGCCACUUUGACUUCUGAAUUCAGGCAAAAGAGUUUAGCAUAUGAAUAAAGACGCACCGCCCCAAUGAUUCGUCUCGAUCCCCCCCAAUUUAAAUGCAAAGCGACAAUGUGUGAUGAUAAUGCCUCGAUGAUCCAGCAUUUGCCAUGAGGGGGGGAAGGCCAUGGGGAUGAGAGUGAUGAUGCCACCAUCAUUCGGCAGGGCAAAAUAAUUAAACGAGUAUCGUAAAACUGAAAUAUAAUGGAUUUAUGUAAAGUUAUGUUACACGCUCUGGCUGGAAAUGGACACAAAUGCGAUAAGCCGGCUCACAACAAAUGGCAGCAAAUAAAUAAAAAAUCAUUAAGAGCUUCGGUUCGGUGUCCUAUUAUGGAUGGAUCCACAGACUAAAUACCGAAUAAAGCAUUGAGAUAGGCCCAAACAGAAUCGAGUGGAAACGAAAACCAGCUUAGGGGCGGUUCUGGCUUUUGAUGUAAGCCCACAAAUCAGUUAAACAAAUUUGUAUUUACCAAAAAAAAUACAAAAUCAUUUGCCGCAAAAUUCAUUCACGACCUGCGAUCGGACAAGACACAAAAGACACAACCGAAUGUGAAGAAAAAUUGGAGAUAUAAUUAUUAAAGGUGUUUUCGCCUUGAGUGGCUGCGCCUGGCAGCCGGGGAUGGACAUUGGUCACCAAUUAUGCUAAUACCUUGCUGAAAAUGUCUGCCUAAAAUCCAUAUUUAAAUUAUUAACACAGAAACCGCAGCUAAGCGAAUUCCCCAUUCGGUUUCAGAAACCAACUGCUAGCCAGAUUGAACAUGUUCAACAUUAAUCUUGACUGAUAAAUUAAAAAAGAAUUAAUUAAAAUGAGCAAUCACUUCGGGCCG